rnacentral:rRNA from 1 species
GACGAACGCUGGCGGCGCGCUUAACACAUGCAAGUCGAACGGAAAGGCCUGCUUUCCCUUGUGGAUUGCGGGUACUCGAGUGGCGAACGGGUGAGUAACACGUGAGUGAUCUGCCCCCAACUUGGGUAUAAGCCUGGGAAACUGGGUCUAAUUCCCGAUAGGACUGCAGGGUGGUGCCUGUGGUGGAAAACGAUUUUCUAGUGGUUGGGGAUGAGCUCGCGGCCUAUCAGCUUGUUGGUGGGGUAAUGGCCUACCAAGGCGGCGACGGGUAGCCGGCCUGGGAGGGUGGACGGCCGCAUUGGGACUGAGAUACGGCCCAGACUCCUACGGGAGGCAGCAGUGGGGAAUAUUGCACAAUGGGCGGAAGCCUGAUGCAGCGACGCCGCGUGAGGGAUGACGGCCUUCGGGUUGUAAACUCCUUUCGACCGCGAGGAAGCCACCUGGUUGGAAGGGUGGUGACGGUAGUGGUAGAAGAAGCACCGGCUAACUACGUG